rnacentral:lncRNA from 1 species
GUCUUCAUUCUCUCUGAACGGAAGAGUGCAGAAAAUAGGGCUCUUCUGCUUCCGAGUCUUCUCUCUUGUGGCGAUUUAGAGGUUGCGUCACGGAGACGCAGCUCAGCUCCUCUAUAAAAGCGCUGAGACUCUCUUUCCUCCUUCCGCCUCUGCCGUCUCCUGAUCCGGUAAGGUUUUCUUUUUGAUUGCCCAUUAGAUCUGGUCCCGCUCCGAUCUUCUAGAGAUUGGAGGCGGUCUUCAUUCUCUCUGAACAGAAGAGUGCAGAAAAUAGGGCUCUUCUACUUCGGAGUCUUCUCUUUUGCGGCGAUUUAGAGGUUGCGUCGCGGAGAGGCAGCUCAGCUCCUCUAUAAAAGCGCUGAGACUCUCUUUCCCCCUUCCGCCUCUUCUGUCUCCUGAUCCGGUAAGGUUUUCUUUCGAUUGCCCAUUAGAUCUGGUCCCGCUCCGAUCUUCUAGAGAUUGGAGGCGGUCUUCAUUUUUUCUGAACGGAAGAGUGCAGAAAUUGGGGCUCUUCU